GUGGGGAGGGCUCAGUGAUAGGUCACAUGCCUUAUACGCAUGAAGCCUUGGGUUCAAUUCCUAGCACCACA
rnacentral:tRNA from 1 species